rnacentral:rRNA from 1 species
UACGUAGGGACCGAGCGUUGUCCGGAAUCAUUGGGCGUAAAGAGCGUGUAGGCGGCCACUUAAGUCCUGCGUGAAAUCCUGCGGCUCAACCGCAGGCGGUCGUGGGAAACUGGGUGGCUAGAGUGCGGGAGAGGAGAGUGGAAUUCCUAGUGUAGAGGUGAAAUUCGUAGAUAUUAGGAAGAACACCAGUGGCGAAGGCGGCUCACUGGCCCGGUACUGACGCUGAGGCGCGAAAGCGUGGGGAGCAAACAGG